UACGUAGGGCGCAAGCGUUAUCCGGAAUUAUUGGGCGUAAAGAGCUCGUAGGCGGUUUGUCGCGUCUGCCGUGAAAGUCCGGGGCUCAACUCCGGAUCUGCGGUGGGUACGGGCAGACUAGAGUGAUGUAGGGGAGACUGGAAUUCCUGGUGUAGCGGCGAAAUGCGCAGAUAAUCAGGAGGAACACCGAUGGCGAAGGCAGGUCUCUGGGCAUUAACUGACGCUGAGGAGCGAAAGCAUGGGGAGCGAACAGG
rnacentral:rRNA from 1 species